AGAUUCUCCUCUGAGCUCUCCGUAUGGGAGCAUUCCUGCAUGAACUCCGCCAGCCCUCUCGCAGUGAACACAGAUGUGAACAACUCGCUUGGUUCUGCCUGCUGGGACCUCAUCUCCAGGUCAGAUCUUCCCUCCGCUGUGCCAUGUCUGCAGACUCGGGCAGCCUCUGCUCCUGAUGGCUUUUAAAAAUCACUUGUGUUCAGUUCAUAAAGGAUUUCUUCAUCCUGUAGGAGCAUCACUCAGUGUUGUUUACUCACACCGCCUCCUUGUCCCCUCUCAAGCCUGUUGAUGGCAAACAAUGGAUGGCAAAUGAUUGCCCCCAGUGCAGUCACACACGGGUUCCACACCCCCCACAAGCACUCAGGGCUUUGAGCUGCCCCUUUUACCUUCACCAUUUUCAUUUAGAAGUCAUCAUCACAGGGCAAAAGCAUAUAAAGCUAUGUUUAUAUUGGGUGUGUUAAAAGGCUGAGGUAUCAGGUGAACACUGUGCCCUGCAGUACAUUACUUCAGACCUUGUGUUCCUUACACUAGCCACAGUUUUUAUCUGAACUGUGGGAUAGGUACCCCCACACCACCUGGAUGCAAAGGAAAAUACCUGGGGGGGAAGGAUAUUUCAUGGCGUGCUGACGUGUACACACCGCUGUGCUGUGGUUAUCAGCAGCUCAUGGCAGGAUCCUGCAGAGGUGGAUUUGGCUCUUCACAGCUGUGAGGAAGCCUUUCUCCAGGCUCUCCCAGGGUCCCGUGGGGUGCUCCCAGAACUGGCAACCACCAGAGCCAUUCACUCAUUCCUGGGACCUGAAGGAGACUAGCACAACCCACCAGCAGCAGCCCUGGGCACCCCAUGGGCUGCACAGGACACCAUGUGCAUCCAGCAGGGAACAGCCACGUGAUAGCAACACAGCCCGUGGCAAAGGCAAGGCAGCAGGACCGCAUGGGCCUGGGCCACUGCCUUCUGCUCCCAAACACUGCAGCCAUCAGACCCUCCAGCAAGCUGGCAGGCAUCACUGCUCAGAGACAUUGGGGUCCUCAGCCACUACUCUCCUCGGGCACACAGGGUUUGGAGUCACCAGCUGCACACUAAGAUGAGGAAAGUGGUCACAACUGUCCCCGCUCAGUGCUGCAGAAGUGUUUAAAUGCUCUAAGACUGCACUUUGCUAACGGUGAUGAGCAGUAGUACAAUGGAGAACUGGCACGAGUAACACCAGCCCUUUAGAAAGGCAAGGAGACAAUAUUUCCGCCUUUCUCA
rnacentral:lncRNA from 1 species